UACGUAGGGGGCAAGCGUUGUCCGGAUUUAUUGGGCGUAAAGAGCGUGUAGGCGGCUUUACAGGUCCGUUGUGAAAACUCGAGGCUCAACCUCGAGACGCCGGUGGAAACCGUAAGGCUAGAGUCCGGAAGAGGAGAGUGGAAAUUCCUGGUGUAGCGGUGAAAUGCGCAGAGUAAUCAGGAGGAACACCCGUGGCGAAAGCGGCUCCGUC
rnacentral:rRNA from 1 species